rnacentral:rRNA from 1 species
AUUGAACGCUGGCGGCAUGCCUUACACAUGCAAGUCGACGGCAGCACGGGAGCAAUCCUGGUGGCGAGUGGCGAACGGGUGAGUAAUAUAUCGGAACGUGCCCAGUCGUGGGGGAUAACGCAGCGAAAGCUGUGCUAAUACCGCAUACGAUCUACGGAUGAAAGCGGGGGAUCGCAAGACCUCGCGCGAUUGGAGCGGCCGAUAUCAGAUUAGCUAGUUGGUGGGGUAAAGGCCUACCAAGGCGACGAUCUGUAGCUGGUCUGAGAGGACGACCCGCCACACUGGAACUGAGACACGGGCCAGACUCCUACGGGAGGCAGCAGUGGGGAAUUUUGGACAAUGGGCGCAAGCCUGAUCCAGCAAUGCCGCGUGCAGGAUGAAGGCCUUCGGGUUGUAAACUGCUUUUGUACGGAACGAAACGGUGAGCUCUAAUACAGUUUGCUAAUGACGGUACCGUAAGAAUAAGCACCGGCUAACUACGUGCCAGCCGCCGCCGUAACAC